rnacentral:rRNA from 1 species
GACGAACGCUGGCGGCGUGCCUAAUACAUGCAAGUAGAACGCACAGUUUAUACCGUAGCUUGCUGCACCAUAGACUGUGAGUUGCGAACGGGUGAGUAACGCGUAGGUAACCUGCCUGGUAGCGGGGGAUAACUAUUGGAAACGAUAGCUAAUACAGCAUAAUAUUGAUUAUUGCAUGAUAAUUGAUUGAAAGAUGCUAUUGCAUCACUACCAGAUGGACCUGCGUUGUAUUAGCUAGUAGGUGAGGUAACGGCUCACCUAGGGGACGAUACAUAGCCGACCUGAGAGGACGAGCGGCCACCCUGGGACUGAGACACGGCCCAGAGUGCUUCGGGAGGCAGCCGUAGGGAAUCUUCGGGCAUCGGCGAAAGACUGACCGCGAAACGCCGCGGCAGUGAGGAAGGUUUUCGGAUCGGAAAGCUCGGUUGUAAGAGAAGAACGGGUGUGAGAGUGGAAAGUACACACUGUGACGGUAUCUUAACAGAAAGGGCCGGCUAACUACGUG